rnacentral:sRNA from 1 species
CUGAUAAAAGUAUUCUAUUUACCAACAGAACAUUUACAGCCUCGAUAGUGGCAGCACAAGCUUGUCUCAUGCUGCCCUGUCAAUAUGCCUCUCCUCUAGGUUGGAGGGAUCACUUUUGUGUAUUUAAAGGACUGUUCAGUCUUUACCUUCC